AGAUGGAGUUUAGAGUGUUUUUGUCUCAUCAGGUGAUUAACUCUCGCUCCCUUACUAGUGUGCUGACUACUGAACUAGGGAGCUGAUGGAGAGAUGUAGUUUAGAGGGUUUAUUGUGCUCUCUGUUCAUUGUUCUCUUCAUC